AAUAUUGCAUUCAAUUACAAUGAAAUCCAACAUGACGAUAAUUACAAUGGUCACAUUCAGCGGACGAUAACUUUGUUCAACAGUAAAACUCUAGCGGAAUCAAGCGGUGACAUAUACGCUUCAAACUCAACACGUUGUGGACCGGACGCCAUGUUUUAGGGCGCUUUUAAUUUGUGCGAGGUAGCGGAAGUAUUAUUAAGACUGUGUUCUGUGAUCAAAUGUCAAGUUGUAAUAACUAUGUCUAUGGUUGUAACCUUUCAUAGAAGAAAAUUGAUAUGGAGGAUAGAGGCAUUGUAUAAAAAAUCCUAUUCUUUUAUACAAUGAUAGAAGUAAGUAGAACCGUGCUGUGUGGGGGAUUAGUUGAAAAAAUGUUCAGCUGUAAACAAUAUAUUAUAAUACGAGAAUUCACCAAAAAAGUGUUAGUAUUGCUAGUGGAAAUAAUAUAAACAUAGUAAAAUGUGCUGAGUUAGAAACUUUUUUAUUUCUAUUAAUUGCUGUAGUUGAGAAAUAUGCAGUAUUAAAAAACUCAAUUAUUUACGUAGUCAGCUGUAAUUUAGUGAAUAAUAACCUAUGAAACUUCUGCGAUAACAAUAAUAGUGAUUUGUUUUUUUAUUAAAUUUUGUUGCAACAUUUUUGUUAUUUUAAUGAUUUUAUUGUUGUUAAUACUACAAGAAAAAAUUUAGAAGCAAUGGGAAAAUUUUGUUCCUUGAAAAGUUGUCCAAGUGGGCGAAAAUUAAAAAGUAAAGAAAUUGAUAUGUCUCAACAUCUAUCUUUUUUUCGACUAACAGUAUGUAUAAUCAAUUUUUAUUAACUAUUUAAAGGUACUUAAGUUAAUAUAUAAAAAUUUUGUAUUUUUUAUAAUAAUUAUCAAAAAAUUAUGAUUAUUCCGACAGGCUAGAAAACACUAUGAAAUGAAGCUCUACCAACAAGAGCAUCAAGAUCAAUAUGAGCAACAAGAAUUGUUACUUGAUUAGUGAGUUCCUUCUAAGUUAAUUCAUGUCAUUCAACAAACUGAACACAAUUUACAUGUACCACAGUUGAAUCAAGAAACUCCCGAUGAUAUACAGAAUAUAAUGAAUGAAAAUAUAAAAUCACACUGCUGUGGUAAGGCUGUAGUGAGGAUGUAUUUUGAUAGACCAAAAGGACUGGAAUUUGUGCAGAUGAAUCCAUCAACUAUGCAAAUUUCAGACUGUCUAUGAGUUAACAAGGAUUUAUCUAUUACUCUAAGUGUAUGGAAAUCUAAAUGAAUCAUUCAUUGUUUUAAGAAUAAUAAUCAAUUGCCAGAAUAUUUUAGGUAAUUUUUUCUACCAAUGCAGAGCUGAAUAUAAAUGAAAACAUUAGUUUUUUCAACAGUAUCACUAACUACUUAGAAACAGUGGAAAGAUGGCUAAUAUGUGAUGGAACACAAAUUGACUGUUACAAAUAUGAUGUUUUUUGUAGUAAUAAAUAAAUUAAUGGCUAGGACAAGUAAGAUUACAUAUAUUUUUUUUAAUAAUUAAAUUAAAUUUUAGGUUUUCAAAACAUAGUAAAAGUGUACUUUUUGUUGAUGAUUUCUAUAAGAGAAAUCAAGCAAAUCCAAGGUGUAAAUCAUUUAGAACUUUGUGUCGUUUUUAGAACUACAAUUCAAAUUCAACUGCACUAGAAAGUACAAUUGUUUAAAAAAGAUGUACUUCUAAUCUACAAAAAUGAUGUAAACAUCUAACAAGAAUACACAGGGUUGCCUAAGUUGGGACCGAAAAUCAUCAAAGGAUGAUCAAUGUCAGUAAAAUUUAUGAAAAAUUGGGAAAUGUGAUUUUAAACCGGCUUUUUACAAGAAAGGUAAAAAAAACCUCUGCAGUUAAUGAAGCAAAGCGAAGGUUUCUAAAAAACAUUCGCUGACCUUGGACUUGCAGAUGAAAGCAACCAAAAUAAUAUGUUUAAUAAGGUUCAGGAAUUUGUUUGCCAUUUAUACGGCUUGAAAAAAAUAAAAUCAAUGAACGAG